GCUCCUUUCUCUGGCAGGGAAUGGACAUGCCAUCUGGCUUCCUGUUACGUAUGGAGGCAGAGAGAAGUGGGCCCUGGCUCCCAUAUCUUCAGUGCCAGUGGCUUCUCGUCAUUAAAUUUAUAGGUUUUAAAUAUAAGAUAUUA
rfam:Tupaia chinensis contig1333, whole genome shotgun sequence.